rnacentral:rRNA from 1 species
AUUGAACGCUGGCGGCAGGCCUAACACAUGCAAGUCGAACGAGUGGCGGACGGGUGACUAAUGUCUUGGCCACUGACUGAUGGAUAGGGAUCACUACUGGAAACGUUAUCUACUCCCGCAUACCAUCGCCUUUGCCCAGUUGGGAUUAGCUAGUCGUUGGGGUAACGGCUCACCAAGGCGACGAUCCCUUGCUGGUCUGAGAGGAUGACCAGCCACACUGGAACUGAGACACGGUCCAGACUCCUACGGGAGGCAGCAGUGGGGAAUAUUGCACAAUGGGCGCAAGCCUGAUGCAGCCAUGCCGCGUGUAUGAAGAAGGACUUCGGGUUGUAAAGUACUUUCAGUAGGGAGGCGUUACCAACAGAAGAAGCACCGGCUAACUCCGUGCCAGCAGCAGCGGUAAUAC